rnacentral:misc_RNA from 1 species
UACAGAGGGUGCAAGCGUUGUUCGGAAUCAUUGGGCGUAAAGGGCGUCUAGGUGGCCUGGCAAGUCAGAUGUGAAAUCCCUCGGCUCAACCGAGGACGUGCAUUUGAAACUGCUGGGCUUGAGUACUGGAGGGGGCAGCGGAAUUCCCGGUGUAGAGGUGAAAUUCGUAGAUAUCGGGAGGAACACCAGUGGCGAAGGCGGCUGCCUGGCCAGAUACUGACACUCAAGCGCGAAAGCAUGGGGAGCAAACAGG